rnacentral:rRNA from 1 species
UACGGAGGGUGCAAGCGUUAUCCGGAUUUACUGGGCGUAAAGGGCUCGUAGGUGGCCAACUAAGUCAGACGUGAAAUCCCUCGGCUUAACCGGGGAACUGCGUCUGAUACUGGAUGGCUUGAGAUUGGGAGAGGGAUGCGGAAUUCCAGGUGUAGCGGUGAAAUGCGUAGAUAUCUGGAGGAACACCGGUGGCGAAGGCGGCAUCCUGGACCAACACUGACACUGAGGAGCGAAAGCCAGGGGAGCAAACGGG